ensembl:snoRNA
CUUCCUUUUCUUGGCAGGGACCAGAUGUGCAGUCUGCUCCCUGUUGUGUGGAGGCAGAGGGAAAGGGCUGCGGCCCUCCCAGCAUCAAGUCUUCAGUGCCAGCGGCUUCCUGUCUGCUGGUUCUAUCCUCAAAUGCCAGGACAGGG